GAUGAACGCUGGCGGCGUGCCUAAUACAUGCAAGUCGAGCGAACGGACGAGAAGCUUGCUUCUCUGAUGUUAGCGGCGGACGGGUGAGUAACACGUGGAUAACCUACCUAUAAGACUGGGAUAACUUCGGGAAACCGGAGCUAAUACCGGAUGAUAUUUUGAACCGCAUGGUUCAAAAGUGAAAGACGGUCUUGCUGUCACUUAUAGAUGGAUCAGCGCUGCAUUGGCUAGUUGGUAAGGUAACGGCUUACCAAGGCAACGAUGCAUAGCCGACCUGAGAGGGUGAUCGGCCACACUGGAACGGAGACACGGUCCAGACUCCUACGGGAGGCAGCAGUAGGGAAUCUUCCGCAAUGGGCGAAAGCCUGACGGAGCAACGCCGCGUGAGUGAUGAAGGUCUUCGGAUCGUAAAACUCUGUUAUUAGGGAAGAACAUAUGUGUAAGUAACUGUGCACAUCUUGACGGUACCUAAUCAGAAAGCCACGGCUAACUACGUG
rnacentral:rRNA from 1 species